rnacentral:rRNA from 1 species
GAUGAACGCUGGCGGCGUGCUUAACACAUGCAAGUCGAACGAGAGAAGAUUGGUGCUUGCACUGAUCCGAUCGAGUGGCGGACGGGUGAGUAACGCGUGGGUAACCUGCCUCAUACAGGGGAAUAACAGUUGGAAACGGCUGCUAAAACCGCAUAAGCGCACAGUAUCGCAUGAUACAGUGUGAAAAACUCCGGUGGUAUGAGAUGGACCCGCGUCUGAUUAGCUAGUUGGUGAGGUAACGGCCCACCAAGGCAACGAUCAGUAGCCGGCCUGAGAGGGUGAACGGCCACAUUGGGACUGAGACACGGCCCAAACUCCUACGGGAGGCAGCAGUGGGGAAUAUUGCACAAUGGGGGAAACCCUGAUGCAGCGACGCCGCGUGAGUGAUGAAGUAUUUCGGUAUGUAAAGCUCUAUCAGCAGGGAAGAUAAUGACG